GAACUGAAGAGUUUGAUCAUGGCUCAGAUUGAACGCUGGCGGCAGGCCUAACACAUGCAAGUCGAGCGGAUGACGGGAGCUUGCUCCUUGAUUCAGCGGCGGACGGGUGAGUAAUGCCUAGGAAUCUGCCUGGUAGUGGGGGACAACGUUUCGAAAGGAACGCUAAUACCGCAUACGUCCUACGGGAGAAAGCAGGGGACCUUCGGGCCUUGCGCUAUCAGAUGAGCCUAGGUCGGAUUAGCUUGUUGGUGAGGUAAUGGCUCACCAAGGCGACGAUCCGUAACUGGUCUGAGAGGAUGAUCAGUCACACUGGAACUGAGACACGGUCCAGACUCCUACGGGAGGCAGCAGUGGGGAAUAUUGGACAAUGGGCGAAAGCCUGAUCCAGCCAUGCCGCGUGUGUGAAGAAGGUCUUCGGAUUGUAAAGCACUUUAAGUUGGGAGGAAGGGCAGUAAGUUAAUACCUUGCUGUUUUGACGUUACCGACAGAAUAAGCACCGGCUAACUCUGUGCCAGCAGCCGCGGUAAU
rnacentral:rRNA from 1 species